GGACAGUCAUCGCCGAGUCCCCGUACGGCGCGAGCCAGGGGAGCCGGGGACCCAUGAAGUCCCUGGGGUGAAUCGGGCGCCCGCGCGUGAGCGAGGGGGUCCGUAGGAGACCUUCCUGCUCCGAACCCGUCAGCUAACCCGGUAGGCGAGAAGGAAGGAAAG
rnacentral:sRNA from 1 species